rnacentral:rRNA from 1 species
GGAUGCGAUUAUACCAGCACUAACACACCGGAUCCCAUCAGAACUCCGAAGUUAAGCGUGCUUGGGCGAGAGUAGUACUAGGAUGGGUGACCCCCUGGGAAGUCCUCGUGUUGCAUCCC